rnacentral:tRNA from 1 species
GGGUCCAUCGUCCAAUCGGGAGGACGUGACGUUCGCAGCGUCGAAAUCGGAGUUCGAGUCUCCGUGGAUCCA